rnacentral:rRNA from 1 species
GGUUAAGCGACUAAGCGUACACGGUGGAUGCCCUGGCAGUCAGAGGCGAUGAAGGACGUGCUAAUCUGCGAAAAGCGCCGGCGAGGUGAUAUGAACCCUUGACCCGGCGAUGUCCGAAUGGGGAAACCCAGUGCAAUCCGUUGCACUAUCGUUAACUGAAUACAUAGGUUAACGAGGCGAACCGGGGGAACUGAAACAUCUAAGUACCCCGAGGAAAAGAAAUCAACCGAGAUUCCCCCAGUAGCGGCGAGCGAACGGGGAGCAGCCCAGAGUCUGAAUCAGCUUGUGUGUUAGUGGAAGCGUCUGGAAAGUCGCACGGUACAGGGUGAAAGUCCCGUACACGAAAAUGCACAGGCUGUGAACUCGAAGAGUAGGGCGGGACACGUGGUAUCCUGUCUGAAUAUGGGGGGACCAUCCUCCAAGGCUAAAUACUCCUGACUGACCGAUAGUGAACCAGUACCGUGAGGGAAAGGCGAAAAGAACCCCGGCGAGGGGAGUGAAAAAGAACCUGAAACCGUGUACGUACAAGCAGUGGGAGCACCUUCGUGGUGUGACUGCGUACCUUUUGUAUAAUGGGUCAGCGACUUAUAUUCUGUAGCAAGGUUAACCGUAUAGGGGAGCCGAAGGGAAACCGAGUCUUAACUGGGCGUUAAGUUGCAGGGUAUAGACCCGAAACCCGGUGAUCUAGCCAUGGGCAGGUUGAAGGUUGGGUAACACUAACUGGAGGACCGAACCGACUAAUGUUGAAAAAUUAGCGGAUGACCUGUGGCUGGGGGUGAAAGGCCAAUCAAACCGGGAGAUAGCUGGUUCUCCCCGAAAGCUAUUUAGGUAGCGCCUCGUGAACUCAUCUUCGGGGGUAGAGCACUGUUUCGGCUAGGGGGCCAUCCCGGCUUACCAACCCGAUGCAAACUACGAAUACCGAAGAAUGUUAUCACGGGAGACACACGGCGGGUGCUAACGUCCGUCGUGAAGAGGGAAACAACCCAGACCGCCAGCUAAGGUCCCAAAGUCAUGGUUAAGUGGGAAACGAUGUGGGAAGGCCCAGACAGCCAGGAUGUUGGCUUAGAAGCAGCCAUCAUUUAAAGAAAGCGUAAUAGCUCACUGGUCGAGUCGGCCUGCGCGGAAGAUGUAACGGGGCUAAACCAUGCACCGAAGCUGCGGCAGCGACGCUUAUGCGUUGUUGGGUAGGGGAGCGUUCUGUAAGCCGUUGAAGGUGGCCUGUGAGGGUUGCUGGAGGUAUCAGAAGUGCGAAUGCUGACAUAAGUAACGAUAAAGCGGGUGAAAAGCCCGCUCGCCGGAAGACCAAGGGUUCCUGUCCAACGUUAAUCGGGGCAGGGUGAGUCGACCCCUAAGGCGAGGCCGAAAGGCGUAGUCGAUGGGAAACAGGUUAAUAUUCCUGUACUUGGUGUUACUGCGAAGGGGGGACGGAGAAGGCUAUGUUAGCCGGGCGACGGUUGUCCCGGUUUAAGCAUGUAGGCGGAGGUUCCAGGUAAAUCCGGUACCUUUUAACGCUGAGGUGUGAUGACGAGGCACUACGGUGCUGAAGUAACAAAUGCCCUGCUUCCAGGAAAAGCCUCUAAGCAUCAGGUAACACGAAAUCGUACCCCAAACCGACACAGGUGGUCAGGUAGAGAAUACCAAGGCGCUUGAGAGAACUCGGGUGAAGGAACUAGGCAAAAUGGUGCCGUAACUUCGGGAGAAGGCACGCUGAUAUGUAGGUGAAGCCCCUGCGGGUGGAGCUGAAAUCAGUCGAAGAUACCAGCUGGCUGCAACUGUUUAUUAAAAACACAGCACUGUGCAAACACGAAAGUGGACGUAUACGGUGUGACGCCUGCCCGGUGCCGGAAGGUUAAUUGAUGGGGUUAGCGGUAACGCGAAGCUCUUGAUCGAAGCCCCGGUAAACGGCGGCCGUAACUAUAACGGUCCUAAGGUAGCGAAAUUCCUUGUCGGGUAAGUUCCGACCUGCACGAAUGGCGUAAUGAUGGCCAGGCUGUCUCCACCCGAGACUCAGUGAAAUUGAACUCGCUGUGAAGAUGCAGUGUACCCGCGGCAAGACGGAAAGACCCCGUGAACCUUUACUAUAGCUUGACACUGAACACUGGUCCUUGAUGUGUAGGAUAGGUGGGAGGCUUUGAAGCGUGGACGCCAGUCUGCGUGGAGCCAUCCUUGAAAUACCACCCUUUAAUGGCUGGUGUUCUAACGUAGACCCGUAAUCCGGGUUGCGGACAGUGUCUGGUGGGUAGUUUGACUGGGGCGGUCUCCUCCCAAAGAGUAACGGAGGAGCACGAAGGUUAGCUAAUCCUGGUCGGACAUCAGGAGGUUAGUGCAAUGGCAUAAGCUAGCUUGACUGCGAGAGUGACGGCUCGAGCAGGUGCGAAAGCAGGUCAUAGUGAUCCGGUGGUUCUGAAUGGAAGGGCCAUCGCUCAACGGAUAAAAGGUACUCCGGGGAUAACAGGCUGAUACCGCCCAAGAGUUCAUAUCGACGGCGGUGUUUGGCACCUCGAUGUCGGCUCAUCACAUCCUGGGGCUGAAGUAGGUCCCAAGGGUAUGGCUGUUCGCCAUUUAAAGUGGUACGCGAGCUGGGUUUAGAACGUCGUGAGACAGUUCGGUCCCUAUCUGCCGUGGGCGCUGGAGAAUUGAGGGGGGCUGCUCCUAGUACGAGAGGACCGGAGUGGACGCAUCACUGGUGUUCGGGUUGUCAUGCCAAUGGCACUGCCCGGUAGCUAAAUGCGGAAGAGAUAAGUGCUGAAAGCAUCUAAGCACGAAACUUGCCCCGAGAUGAGUUCUCCCUGAGACUUAAAGUCUCCUGAAGGAACGUUAAAGACGAUGACGUUGAUAGGUCGGGUGUGUAAGCGCAGCGAUGUGUUGAGCUAACCGAUACUAAUGAACCGUGAGGCUUAACCUU